rnacentral:rRNA from 1 species
CCGGCACGGGUGAGUAACACGUAUCCAACCUGCCGUCUACUCUUGGCCAGCCUUCUGAAAGGAAGAUUAAUCCAGGAUGGCAUCAUGAGUUGACAUGUCCGCAUGAUUAAAGGUAUUUUCCGGUAGACGAUGGGGAUGCGUUCCAUUAGAUAGUAGGCGGGGUAACGGCCCACCUAGUCAACGAUGGAUAGGGGUUCUGAGAGGAAGGUCCCCCACAUUGGAACUGAGACACGGUCCAA